ACCCGUUUCUGGGACCAAUCAGAUUAGUUAGAUUGCCAGCUCUUGCCUUUAAGCCUUCAGGGUUUUUUCUCAAUUCCUGCACCUUGGUUAGAGAGGGAGGAAGUAGCAGUGUUGCCUUCCUGAUCCUUGACCACAAAACAAUUGGGAUACUUGUUUAGCAUGUAAUUUAUUAAAUUAACAAACCUACAUAAAGAAAUAUGAAGUAUUAGCAACAUGAAGACAUUACCAGGGAUCACUUUCAAGGUAACCCUUUGAAAUUUAGAAACCUUUCCAAAUCUGAUUGACCGCUUGCAUUAGCCAUGCAAGUAUUUAAACCAGUAACCAUACAAUGUGUAAUUUAGACUAUUUGUUGUUUCAAAGCAUUUAGUCACACAGCUUUGACUCAAUACAUUCUGGAACACUUAGUCUAUGGCUCAAUAAUUGAUGUAUAUUAGCACCUGUUAAACCAGGGGAUAUAAUAUACGCCAUCAAAAUGGAGAAACAAAGACACAGCUGUGAUCAAUAUGGCAACUGAUCAUGCAAAUGCCAUUGAGUCCCAGCAGUUAUGUCAUGCAGGCUAUUGAAAGCCACAACAAAUCACCAGACAUAAGGCAUAACUGUUAUGAAUACGAGUCUAAGCUUCUUGAAAGAUCCCCCCCCUCCUCUGAACAGUUGAUAUUUCUCGAAGACAAAAAUAAUAAUAACGUUGAACAAAAUGUAGACAUUAGUCUACGAAGUUGCAGACUUCAAAUAUGCUAUGAGAUCUGCACGUUCUCCCUUCUUCUUGAUGCCAGCAAAGAUCAUCUUUGUUCCUGGAAUGUAUUUCUUGGGGUUCUCCAAGUAAGUCAUGAGGGUAUCAGUGUCCCAGACAAUGCCUGAAAUCACAUGUGAAGGGACAGGUUAGGAUGAGAAUGAAAUGUGUCACGUUGUCAGACUCCAUUUAUUUCCUGUAGAAUGGGGACAAUCUCACGCGUACCUUUGGCUUUGUUGGCAUCCGUGUAGGAAAAGCCUUCAGCCUGUCCAGUCUUGCGUCCAAACAGACCCCAGAGGUUUGGCCCGACCUUGUGCUUUCCUCCAUUUUCAACAGUAUGGCACUGGGCACACUUCUGGACAAAAGCCUUCUUUCCCUUUUCAAUGUCACCCAUGUUUCCUAUUGGACAAUAAAGCUUUUAGUCUUCAGUUCCGAUCAGCUUUCUCCUCGCCGGUAGCCGACUCACUGGAUCUAAUAGUAUUGAGAGCGAGUUCCUUUUUCUUCCCUCCAGAUUUUAUUACGUCAUCCAGACUGGCCAGUCACAUGCUUCUAGCGUCAUUAUGACGAACACGGCUGUUUUGCAUUCAAGCCCUAGAUGGAGUUGAGAACAUGAUGUAGGCCUACUACACAAAUGGAAAUAGCAUACUACACAACAUUUCAGUGGAAAUGCCGUUGUUUGUAUUCACACUACACCACAACAAAUAUAUAUAUAUUUUUUUUUUAACCACUUAAUCAUCAUUGGAAAGAUCAGUGAACAGUUGGAAUGUUCAAGAUUGUUGUGGGGAAUUCCACCACUGUAUUUCAUUGUCAAGAGGGUUUGUUGCAUCCUUGUAACCAUACAUCGACCUAACACCAGGUAGUUAUUUUGAGAAGAAGAUCUAGCUACACAUAGCUAGCCAAAGUAUAUACUAUACCAGAGGGGAAGAGGCGAAGCAUAUACGGAGAAAAAUUUGGCGAAGCGGAUGAUGAAGUGGAUUUGGAAUCUAAUGGCGGUAUUAUCAAGGAGAAUUGUAGCAUUGUCCAAAAUAAUGGAAAAUGGAGCAAAUUAGUGUACAGUGAUGAGAAUGUCACUUCGUAUCUUGUUGGAGUACGGUUUAUUAACGAGAAGCAGCUGAUCAAAU
rnacentral:lncRNA from 1 species